CUGGCUCCGCCACUGGUUGUGCCAGACACCUUAAUCCCUAUCCCCUUUAAUCCAUUGCAACCAUCACUACUGCUAUUAUCCUCAUGAUCAACAAAAUGCACCCCCACCCCUUGCUAACUUUCAUUAUUGUUGCAAUAUCUCUUGUACCAGCACAAGAGGCACAAAAGUCUUAAACGACGAGUCAUCUGCAUUAUCACAGUUAGAAGUGAAUACCAUAAGUGUAACCACAAGCAUACUCCUCCUUUAUAAUGAUCUCAACCAUCAAAUGAAGAUUUCUGUUUCAAAAUUAAAAUUAUAUUAGAUACGGGC
rnacentral:lncRNA from 1 species